UCCUCAUCUCUGUCUGAGAUGUCAUCAGCCUGGCCAUCUCUGUUCCAUAUCACUAUCAGCAUUUUGGUCACAACCAUUUAACAAGUCUCUAGGAAGUUCCAAACCUUCUCAUCUUUCUGUCUUCUUCUGAGCCCUCCACACUCUUCCAACAUCUGCCUGUUACCCAGUUUCAAAGCUGCUUCCACAUUUUCAGGUAUCUUUAUAGAAAUACCCCACUUCUGGUACCAAUUUUCUGUAUUAGUCUGUUCUCACAUUCCUAUAAAUAAAUACCUGAGACUGGAUAAUAUAUAAAGAAAAGAGGUUCAAUUGGCUCAUGGUUCCAUAGGCUGUAUGGAAAGCAUGGCAGCAUCUGCUUUUGGGGAAGCCUCAGGAAAAAGCAGGAGCAGGUGUCUUACAUGGCAGAAGCAGGACCAAAGGGGUGGGGAAGAUGUUACACACUUUUUAAAUCAACCAGAUCUUGUGAGAACUCACACUAUACAGUACCAAAGGGGGGAUGGUGCAACUCUGCCCUCAUGAUCCAGUCACCUCCCACCAGACAUCACCUCCAACACUGGGGAUUACAAUUUGACAUGAGAUUUGGUGGGGACACAGAUCCAAAUCAUAUCAGGAGCCAAAGCAAAGAUGAAAGCUGGCAAUGCCUGUUUUCUUGUUGGAGUAACCUCACCUUUUUGCCACUCCAGACAAAAAAAGAAAAACCCAUGUGCCCAUGAGCCUUUUGAACCAGGCAGAGUAAGAAAUCUACCUAGCAAUAACCAAUAAAAUGUCUUUAAAGCUG
rnacentral:lncRNA from 10 species